CUCGCGGUCACCCACCUUAUGUUUGGGGCAUUGCAAAGAAAAGUUCUCUUCGAUGAAUAUGCAACCUGUGAGCAAGAGAAGUUCGUGCGGUCAGAACGGCGUCUUGUCCGGCCGGGAGGGGGGCCCACCGCCCCGGACGCCCUCAGCUGCAGGGUUUUUUUUCAAAGAGCAAGGAUCACGGUUUUCCUGUCUGUCCCACUGAGACAUGAGCCCCCAAGGAGGCUGGGAAGCUGGAACACCGGAGAGGACAGUGCACAGGAUGUGGAGCCGGCCAGACAGUGAGUCACCCCCUGGUCCUGUUCCUGCAGUGCUGUGGCCACGGGUAAGACAGCCUGUCUUUGAAGGUGCCGCUGGAGACAGUGCAAGGCCUGGCACGGGGCUGGCAGAGCGCAGGCGCAAACCUAAUCACUGCGAGAGGAGAGCUGCAGCCCGCGGCACCUGUUCCUGGAGGUCAGGCCCGGGCUCGGAGUCCACAUUACAAUCUGGUUCCCACGGCCCUCAGGGCAGGGUGUGGAGCCAGAGCGGCCCCAUGUCCCGCUCCAGCGCGUUCCCUUCCUGAGGUGCUAGCGCCUCAGCCCUCACCAAGGAACCGUCACCGCUCAGUCCCGUGUGUGCUCCUGGGGGCGGCUCGGUGCGGGCUGAUGCCAGGAAGUGGCAUUCAGGUGGGAAGAGGGGUCCCUGGGCUGUGGGAGCAGCGAGGGUCCUGCCAGGAGAUGCCUCUGCCCUGCCGUCGUGCGACAGGGUCACGAUAACCUCACCCUCUUCCAGGGCAGCAGGGGGCGGGGGACAGAGAUUGCGGGGGCUGGCCCCCAAAUCGGACCGGGGCUGCCCUUUCUGGGUCGUGCUUGUGAUCUCCCUCCCUGCUCCAGACAGCUGCAGAAAGAAGAAAUGACUCUAACCUCAGCUUUACAGAUGGGAACCGAGUGCAGAGACAUCGGUGGACUCACCCAGUCCACACCUGAAGCAUGCCACCAGGACUGGGGGCUCCGGGCUCUCUUACCCAGGCCAUCAGUAUGCCACCUGCCUGGUGAUGAUAGGUGCUCGAUAAAUGCCCGCGGGUCAAGUGAGCUAGGGAGUGGAGAGAAUGGGGCAGGUGCAGGGGAGCCUGGUCCUGACUCCAGGGCCCACCGUCCUGCUUAAACCUUCCACAGCUGUGCCGUGGAGCCAGGGGGAGUCUGUCUUGAACUUCCUCUCUUUCCAUCUCACUCAAUUUUUGUUACUGAACUAUCUUUUCUCCUUUUUCUCCAACCCAGUGAACUCCUAUUCAGCCUUUUUCCAAGGCCCAGCCCAGUAGCCCUGCUCUUGGAGGCCUGAGACCCUCCCGAGCUGUAGGCACCCCUCGGCAAUGGCAGCUCACAUACAGCUUUCCACUUCGUAGUUUGUGCUUCUGGGCACUCCUCCAGCAGGUGGCUGGGGACUGACGUGUCUCCUUGUCAGCAGCACUGCCCAGCACAGGGCCCAGCCGAGAGACACGAGAAGCAUCCGAUGGUGGCCCCGGCUUCUUGGCAGCUGGAACAAGUCUGGCGAGGAGAGAGGGAAGACAGUGGAUGACAACGCACAGGGCCAGUCACUGCCCGGCUGUGCCGUCGCCUGCCAGCUCCUCCCCACAGCCUCCGGGUGGGCAGCUUCAUGGACGCCACUUCACAGACAGUGAAGCUGAGGCCCCCACUCCAGGCGGAGGUGAUAAGUAUCGUUUCCUACCCUUUCCGGGGUCAGAACAAGCACUGGACCCAGAGUCGGUGCUCUACUCAAGAGAGGCCGCUCACCCUGCCCAGGACCCAUGAGGAGGAAACAGCCACUGCCUGAACGCGGGGCUCAUGUAAACCCUAUGCCGGCCGGCACGGCAACUGGCCCACUCGGCCUCUCAAAAGCCAAAACCGUGGUCUGAGCUUGGGAGCUGCCCCAGGUUGGGCCCAGCUGCCUGCAGGGGGACGUGCCAGGACAGGAUGGCGAUGCCAGGAAGCCCCUUGGAAGCAAAACCUGAGGCCUGGGGAGGGACAGGCUGGUCCCCAGAUCCUGCAGACCCCCUGUGUAGCAGGGGGGUGAGGUUUGGGGGGGGGGGCAGGCCCCCGCGCGGAGGCUAAGCCACUGAAACCAGUAACUGCAGUUCAUGACACACCAGGCACACGUGGAGGCCGCCUCCUGAGAACACCCCGAUGGCAUCAGCAUCACUUUAUUUUAUACAGGGAUGCUCCCAGGGUGGGAGGCCGCUGGACCAUUUUUGGAGGAUGGCACAGCGGGCAGAGAUGGGGCAACUGGGCCAAGCUCCAGCUCCGUGACGUAACAGUCGUAUGACGCCAGGAAACCGCAAGGCCACUCAGCCCCCCGGCUUCCUCCCCAGGCCAACAAGAGGUUGGUGCAGUGAGGUCCCGCUGCCCCUGAGGCCACGGAGGCAACCCCCUGACGUGCAGUUCUGGGGCCUGAGCAUCUCGGCUGAUGAGCAGACGCUGAUUGGGGCUGCCGAGCCACUGCAGGCAUAAAAUGUCCCCUCCUCGACUCCCAGGAACGCAGGACGGCGGCACCUGCCUCCUGUUUUUCAUACCGUAGGCGCCCCGACACGGAGGAGACCCCCUUCUGACCCAGUUUAGUCCAUCCUGGCAGCUGCAAUCAAACACGACAGGAGGUGCCUGCUGUGACCCAGCCUUGGUUCCAGGGCGGCUCCCUGCCAGGGGAGGCAGAGAAGGCAAGGAGAGAGCCUAACCUCUCAGCCCCGUCUUGGCCUGGACACCCCACGUGCCCCACCCACCGUGACUUCCCGGGGAAGAGGACGUACCAAGGUGCCCAGCUGGUGGUCAGUGUGGCACCUUCCUGAGCCUCAGGGCCUUUACACCGCCUUUUCCUCUGCUGGGAAUACAAUUCUCAGGGGACAUGGGUUCGAUCCCUGGUCCGGGAAGAUCCCACAUGCCGCGGAG